GUCAUUCUACAGCGGCAAUAAAAAGUCUCAUAACAAUAUGUGAGAACAGAACACAUCCGUCUCAGCGUGCUCCCAGGUCAGAUAUCUACAGAAUAAGAGGAGAAUGAGUCAAAACCUCAAGAAGUAUGCUGCAAACACUGGAGCACAAAAUCAAGUUGUCCAGUAUGGAGCAAGUGUUUCUAAGCAAAUAUCUGCCAAUGAGACCACAUUUACUGUGAAGAACAAGACACAGAUUAAUGUUCCUGCUAAGAAUGGAACUGUUAGCAUCUCAAAAGCAGAAAUAUACCAGGUGAGAAAAUUGCACCAGUGAUGAAGAAACACGACAACAACAAUGUGCUGUUUAAAAUUUUAAAAAAAUGGUGCGUGUAAAGGCCAAAAUGUCAUUUAAGGUGUUGAAUAUCCAAAAUCUUGGUAUCUUUAUGUAGGUGUGGGAUAAAAUGUAGCUUAAUUUCUUAAUGGUGUUUUACUUUUUUCUUUUCUUACUGAACUUUAGAAAAAAUUGGUUAUGAACUUGGUAAAUACUGAAGAUUUUCUAAACCCUGUUAUUAUUGUUAUUGCUGUAAGAAAUAAAUUAUAGAAUGAUAGUCAGUCUACAUUGGUCAUACGAUAUUAGAAUAAACUGAUGCUAAACAUGGAAAAGAAUUUUUCUAAUCCUGUUAUGGAAAUGUGAUUUAUUGUUGUCAUGAAUAAAUAUGGUAUAUAAUUGUGCUGAACUACACUACCCAUCAGCCCCAGCAUGUCAUAUGACUCUCACCUGUGUCUCGUUAUACCUUGAUUAGCACCACUAUUUAAGUUCUAGUUUUUCAGCGUCUCACUGUCAAGCUUCUGGUGUUAUUGUUGUAGUUGUUGUUUGUUGUUGUGUGCGCACCACAGUAUCGCUGUAGGGAUAAACUCACAUAUUUACAAUAUAUUUUGAAUCCAUUUAUUUCUGUAAAGCUGCCUUGUGACAAUGUCCAUUGUUAAAAGCGCUCUACAAAUAAAAUUGAACUGAAUUGAA